rnacentral:tRNA from 1 species
GCCGCGGUGGCGGAACUGGCAGACGCGCGAGACUCAAAAUCUCGUGACCUUUACGGUCGUGUGGGUUCGACCCCCUCCCGCGGCA